UACGGAGGAUCCGAGCGUUAUCCGGAUUUAUUGGGGUUAAAGGGUGCGUAGGCGGCCUAUUAAGUCAGGGGUGAAAGACGGUAGCUUAACUAUCGCAGUGCCUUUGAUACUGAUAGGCUUGAAUGUACUUGAGGUAGGCGGAAUGUGACAAGUAGCGGUGAAAUGCAUAGAUAUGUCACAGAACACCAAUUGCGAAGGCAGCUUACUAAAGUAUGAUUGACGCUGAGGCACGAAAGCGUGGGGAUCAAACAGG
rnacentral:rRNA from 1 species